rnacentral:rRNA from 1 species
AGGGCCCCACCGUGAGUGGAGCCUGCGGCUUAAUUUGACUCAACGAAAAAAAACUCACCCGGCCCGGACACUGGAUGGAUUGAUUGAUUGAUAUUUCUUUCUUGAUUGGAUGGGGGGGGGUGCAUGGCCGUUCUUGGUGGGUGGAUUGAUUUGUCUGGUUAAUUCCAAUAACGAACGAGACUCUAGCCUACUAAAUAGAUAGUCGGCUUACAAACGCGGUGUAGACUUCUUAGAGGGACAGGCGGUGAUUCAACCGCCAGAAACAUAACAAUAACUGGUCUGUGAUGCCCUUAGAUGUGCUGGGCCGCACCCGCGCUACACUGAAGUGAUCAGCGUGCUUUUUCAGCCUACUCUGUCAAGAGUGGGAAACCUUUUGAACCUUCUUCGUGAUAGGGAUAUGGGAUUGUUUUUAUUCCCAAUUAACAAGGAAUUCCCAUCAAUCGCUAGUCAUAAUCUCGUGUUUAUUACUUCCCUGCACUUUGUACACACUACUCCGUCGCUACUACCGAUUGAAUGUUU